ensembl:snRNA U4 U4 spliceosomal RNA
AUACUUUGCAGUGGCAGCAUCAUAGCCAAUGAGGUUUAUCCAAGGCACGAUUAUUGCUAAUUGAAAACUUUUCCCAGUACCCUGCUGUGAUGAUUUACAAUAUAGUUGGCACUGGCAAUUUUUGACAGUCUCUACAGAGA